rnacentral:rRNA from 1 species
UGAGGAAUAUUGGUCAAUGGGCGGAAGCCUGAACCAGCCAUGCCGCGUGCGGGAAGAAGGCCCUACGGGUUGUAAACCGCUUUUCCCCGGGAAGAAUAACCCCGACGCGUCGGGGGAUGCCGGUACCGGGGGAAUAAGGAUCGGCUAACUCCGUGCCAGCAGCCGCGGUAAUACGGAGGAUCCGAGCGUUAUCCGGAUUUACUGGGUCUAAAGGGCGCGUAGGCGGCCCUGCAAGUCAGCGGUGAAAUGUGGCGGCUCAACCGUUUCGCUGCCGCUGAUACUGUAGGGCUUGGAUGCGGUCGAGGCGGGUGGAAUUCGUGGUGUAGCGGCGAAAUGCAUAGAUAUCACGAGGAACGCCAAUAGCGAAGGCAGCUCGCCGGGCCGCGAUCGACGCUGAGGCACGAAAGCGUGGGGAUCAAACA